UACAAGUUCACCAUCCAGUAAAAGGAACCCAAGAGAAAAGGACACAGAGGAGCUACAAAAUGAGAUAGACAAAUUGAAGGAAAGGAUAGUUAUAUAUCGUAAUAACCUAGACCCUGUCAAGAUUAGAGCAGAAUUAGACUUAACAGACGAAUCAAUGAUCAACGUUUUAAGGGAGGAAAAUUUAAGACUGAUAGCAGAAGUUAAAUCAUACAAAUCAAAGGAUACUACAGGGAGUUCAAACCAUGAUGAGGCAUUGGAAAAGAAAGCGUCUGAGACAAAUGCAUUGAAGAAAGAAGCCGUAUACCUUAUAAGUAA